AAAAGGGAUUCCGAGGUUAGAUGCGAAACAAAGCGGGCGAAAAAAUUUCCCUAAGUGUUUUACAACUAAAUCCUCAGUGCUAUCGUUGGUGCCCUGUGUACGUCAAAUAUCCUUUCCAUCCUUGGGAACAAGGGGAGAAAUAGUAAUAUAGUGACUGGGUACAUGACCUCCGGUCGAGCCCAAAUUGCCCUUCCAAUAAGGGUAACCUUGAAAGAAGAAGAAGAA